rnacentral:rRNA from 1 species
CCUACGGGAGGCUGCAGUGGGGAAUAUUGGACAAUGGGGGGAACCCUGAUCCAGCCAUGCCGCGUGUGUGAAGAAGGCCCUCGGGUUGUAAAGCACUUUCAGUGAGGAAGAACGCCUGGUGGUUAAUACCCAUCAGGAAAGACAUCACUCACAGAAGAAGCACCGGCUAACUCCGUGCCAGCAGCCGCGGUAAUACGGAGGGUGCGAGCGUUAAUCGGAAUUACUGGGCGUAAAGCGCGCGUAGGUGGCUUGAUAAGCCGGUUGUGAAAGCCCCGGGCUCAACCUGGGAACGGCAUCCGGAACUGUCAAGCUAGAGUGCAGGAGAGGAAGGUAGAAUCCCCGGUGUAGCGGUGAAAUGCGUAGAGAUCGGGAGGAAUACCAGUGGCGAAGGCGGCCUUCUGGACUGACACUGACACUGAGGUGCGAAAGCGUGGGUAGCAAACAGGAUUAGAUACCCCUGUAGUC